GGGGGAGACUAACAAGGAUUCCCCUAGUAACUGCGAGUGAAGCGGGAAAAGCUCAAAUUUAAAAUCUGGCAGUCUUUGGCUGUCCGAGUUGUAAUCUGGAGAAGCGUUUUCCGCGCUGGACCGUGUACAAGUCUCUUGGAACAGAGCGUCAUAGAGGGUGAGAAUCCCGUCUUUGACACGGACUACCAGUGCUUUGUGAUGCGCUUUCAAAGAGUCGAGUUGUUUGGGAAUGCAGCUCAAAAUGGGUGGUAAAUUCCAUCUAAAGCUAAAUAUUGGCGAGAGACCGAUAGCGAACAAGUACCGUGAGGGAAAGAUGAAAAGCACUUUGGAAAGAGAGUUAAACAGUACGUGAAAUUGCUGAAAGGGAAACGCUUGAAGUCAGUCGCGUCGUCUAGAACUCAACCUGGCUUUUGCUUGGUGCACUUUCUAGUUGACGGGCCAACAUCAGUUUUGACUGCUGGAAAAAUUCCAUUGGAAUGUGGCACCUCCGGGUGUGUUAUAGCCUUUGGUUGUAUACAGUGGUUGGGACUGAGGACCGCAGCACGCCUUAUGGCCGGGGUUCGCCCACGUACGUGCUUAGGAUGUUGGCGUAAUGGCUUUAAGCGACCCGUCUUGAAACACGGACCAAGGAGUCUAACAUGCCUGCGAGUGUUUGGGUGGAAAACCCGAGCGCGUAAUGAAAGUGAAAGUUGGGAUCCCUGUCGCGGGGAGCACCGACGCCCAUACCAGACCUACUGUGACGGAUAUGCGGUUGAGCAUGUAUGUUGGGACCCGAAAGAUGGUGAACUAUGCCUGAAUAGGGUGAAGCCAGAGGAAACUCUGGUGGAAGCUCGUAGCGAUUCUGACGUGCAAAUCGAUCGUCAAAUUUGGGUAUAGGGGCGAAAGACUAAUCGAACCAUCUAGUAGCUGGUUCCUGCCGAAGUUUCCCCUCAGGAAAGAU
rnacentral:rRNA from 1 species